GGCUGCUACUUGUAUUGGGCUUAGAGUUUUCCAGAAGAGACCAAGCUGUGAACCUUGGCAAGCUGCUGCUAG